rnacentral:rRNA from 1 species
UGCCAAGGGCAUGGCUGGGUAGCUAUGUACGGAAUGGAUAAGCGCUGAAAGCAUCUAAGCGCGAAGCCAACUUCAAGAUAAGAUUUCCCACCGCAAGGGUAAGACCCCAGAAAGACUAUCUGGUUGAUAGGUCGAAGGUGUAAGUGCAGUAAUGUAUUUAGCUUAUCGAUACUAAUAGGUCGAGGACUUGACCAAU